UAGAUGGCGGACAUGCGGGUAGAGGGGGAGGGCGGUCCAUUUAAACUGAGUUACUCUCCAAGUUACUCCCUCCAUUUCCAAACAAAUGUAAACGGCUGCCAGCGCGUUCAGGGUUUUAGAGGAAAACACACCUGGCGAACGCCCGCUCACGGCUAAACUGAAGAAAAUCCACCUGUUCAACUCAUUUACCUGGUCAUUUUAGGUUUGCUGUUAGCAACAACUGCAUUUAAAGGCGGGACAGUUCUUCCCUGUCAUACCUAGUGGCAGCUAGAGGCCCACAACAUUUACCAGAGGAUUAAAUAUUUCGGUGAUGGUUUAACUGUGGCUUCAUUUCAUCAGACUAAGGUGCUGAGUUAUUGUUCAAGAAGACAGUUUUCCCCCAGGGUGAGAGGGGCCGGGUCAGUCGCUGUGCCAAGCCUGAGAGUAUGAAACCGGAGGUGACAGGAUGUUGAUGAGGAGGCCUGAAGCAUUACCUCCAACCAUCAUGCCCUGGAGUGCUCCACUCUGCCAGCCGGUAAUGAACCUAAGGGUUGCACUCCAGUCAACUGUCACCCAGUCAUUCUGUACCAGCUGCAGUUUUAUCCUAGAGAGAGGCAAAAACAGGCAGUGGAUUUUGGUAGCUGAAUACAAGAAUGUGCUCCUGAAAACCAUACAUUCAGACCAGCAACAUCAUCGCAUUUGCUCUUGCUUGAGUGUGACUGGCCGUUUGCAUUGGAACCAGCUUCACCUAUAGUUUGGCUAGAGGCGGCUGUGCAGCACCUGACAGCAGACAGACACGGUUAGCCACCAGCUGGUGAACAUAGUGAAGCGUUUGGCUGCUACAGAGCCAGAUAUUUCCCUCAGCAGUUGGUAGAGACCAAAAGCAGAACUAAGUCGGUGAAUAUCGAGCUUUGCCAGCUGGCCAGAGACACAUCUCCAGUAGAGUAAAAUGUUGCUCUGUAACUACUGGAAGUAUAAACACUCACUGAUUGCUAAAAAAAAAAAAAAAAUUCAUUAUUAAUAACUUAAAAAGAUGAUGUCAAUGUUGUGUUCACAACUUGUUUCCUGUGCCACCUGCUAAUUAAAACAAACUACAGACAGGUGAUAAAUUAAAGGAAUAUAAUCAACAUAACAUGCCUCAGUAAGGUGCUGGGCCACCAUGUGCAGCCAGAACAGCUUUGUUCAGCAUUGUUUCUACAAAGCCCUGUUCAGACAUGCACUGGUAUUCCCUCGUGGUGUUUUUGACGAUGCUGGUGGAGAUGUUGUCUGACACAUUACUCCAAAAUCUCCCAUAGGUGUUCAGCUGGGUUCAGAUGUGGUGACUGUG